ensembl:snRNA U6 U6 spliceosomal RNA
AACCAUUGGGAGGCAUUGUGGUUAAGAGUGCAGAUUCCAAGAUAUAGAGAGGAUUAGCAUGGCCCCUGUGCAAGGAUGACACGCAAAUUCAUGAAGCAAUCCAUAUUUUA